CGUAGGUGACCUGCGGAGGGAUCAUUUACACAAAUAUGAAGGCGGGCUGGAACCUCUCGGGGUUACAGCCUUGCUGAAUUAUUCACCCUUGUCUUUUGCGUACUUCUUGUUUCCUUGGUGGGUUCGCCCACCACUAGGACAAACAUAAACCUUUUGUAAUUGCAAUCAGCGUCAGUAACAAAUUAAUAAUUACAACUUUCAACAACGGAUCUCUUGGUUCUGGCAUCGAUGAAGAACGCAGCGAAAUGCGAUAAGUAGUGUGAAUUGCAGAAUUCAGUGAAUCAUCGAAUCUUUGAACGCACAUUGCGCCCUUUGGUAUUCCAAAGGGCAUGCCUGUUCGAGCGUCAUUUGUACCCUCAAGCUUUGCUUGGUGUUGGGCGUCUUGUCUCUAGCUUUGCUGGAGACUCGCCUUAAAGUAAUUGGCAGCCGGCCUACUGGUUUCGGAGCGCAGCACAAGUCGCACUCUCUAUCAGCAAAGGUCUAGCAUCCAUUAAGCCUUUUUUUCAACUUUUGACCUCGGAUCAGGUAGGGAUACCCGCUGAACUUAAGCAUAUCA
rnacentral:rRNA from 1 species